rnacentral:rRNA from 1 species
CAGCAGCCGCGGGAAUACGAAGGGGGCUAGCGUUGUUCGGAAUUACUGGGCGUAAAGCGCACGUAGGCGGACAUUUAAGUCAGGGGUGAAAUCCCGGGGCUCAACCCCGGAACUGCCUUUUAUACUGGGUGUCUAGAGUAUGGAAGAGGUGAGUGGAAUUCCGAGUGUAGAGGUGAAAUUCGUAGAUAUUCGGAGGAACACCAGUGGCGAAGGCGGCUCACUGGUCCAUUACUGACGCUGAGGUGCGAAAGCGUGGGGAGCAAACAGGAUUAGAUACCCCAGUAGUCCCUGUCUCUUAUAA